rnacentral:lncRNA from 1 species
ACAUUCCUUGUAAAGAACGAUAUGUACACAGAUAUAGUGAUAGUCAGUUCUCUUUCUCUCUCUCUCUCUCUUUCUCUCUCUUCAUAUCUUCAAUUUAGCUCGAUCAAUUUGUAAGAUUUGGUAUGUUAACAAGGUCACGUCUAUUUCUCCUCCGCAAACUCACAAUAACAGCUAGAUAUAAAGUUUUAGCACAAACUUACUACAAGUUCAGAAUUUAAGCCCAAGCACCACUAACAAAAACUUCCACGCUCACUGUACCAGAAAUUUUCAACAACAGAUCAGCUGUUUAAAAUUUAGCUCAUUGGUUUAGUUUUCAACUCAACAAUCAUGUGUCCAAAUAAACUCUCAAUAAUCAGGUGCCCAAAUACAAUCUGGAAAUUUCCCAGAUUUUAUAUAUCUCGAAUAUUUUGUAGUCUCAUCCGAUUGAUCGCAAUCGACCGUGGUCGGAACAUGUCCUCCAAUUUUUGUCUUUAUAUUCUCUUAAUCCAUAGCCUUUCUCCUCCACAAAAUAACCUUCUCAUUAGUCCCAAAAGCAAUAAAAAGCUUUGAUGGAGUUCAGUCAGAGAACAUCCAUCCGAUGACGCGUCUCCAUCUUCUUGCUCAUGUUUAUGUCGAUGUCUCAGCCUUAUAUGAUGUUUUUAGUGAAGAAGUAGAAGAAAAUAGAAGCAGCAACAGCAAAUUAGUGACAUAAUUAUUUGGGUAUCGUACCAACUUAUUAUUUUUGUCAUACCAUGAUCUUAAAUAUCUUUUUUUCUUUUAAACUGACUGAUUUUAGACCUUCUACGCUUUCCUACAAUUAAUGAUUCAAUAGGUUAUGAAUUAACACAAGAACAAGAGGAAAAAUUGAAUAAAGCUAAAAUGAGAGAUGAAAAGAGGGUGAUUGCUUGUUGAUGGGGAAACUUUGGAAUUUUGAAACUAAAAUUGAUGUUUUGAAACAGUUGAUGAUGGCGGUGAUUGAAGCGGCGUAGCAUCUAUGAGGAUCGACGGUGAGAUCUGUCUUUGUAGCCAUGGAGUGGUUAACUCUCUUUCCGCAUCUAUCUUUGUAGAUCUAAGCCUCUUAGUUUCUCUAAUUAAUUACUUUUGGGCUAGCCACUAGAAUUACUUGUAGGCUAUUAAAUGUAUGUUGUAAUUUCUAGGCUACCAGGUGAUAUAAGUUUGGGCCUAAUGACUACAAAUGAAGUUUGCUCAAGUAUUAACAAGGAAUUUUUAUCUCCUAUAGCAAAUGUUAACUCCUUAUUUAUAUUAAAUAAAUACUAUUUAAAAAAAUUAUAUUCAAUAGAUACCUUUUAAUGUUUAUAGUAAAAUAUCUAAUUUUGGUUAACCCCUACUCCUAAGCCACUAAAAAUGCUAUUCAGUUCCAUUAUUUUUUCUCCACUCUACUUUGAUACAUGCCAUUCUACUCCCCAUUCUGAAAACACGAUGCGCAAUCUCAAAAUUUCACUCAUCCACAUCACCUACGUUGUCUCCGCUCCUAAUCCUCCAAUUCCGUCAGACAUUGCUUUCUCUUAAAUUUUUUUAAUGUAUACCCGAUUUGAGCAAACUUCAUACACUACCUCCACUUCAUUCUUCUUCUCUUUUCUUAUUUUCUUUCUUUUCCCUUCUUCUUUGUUGCUAUUUGAUAGCCAUAGGUAUAUUAAUAUUGGAGAAAGAAGAAAUCAAGUGUUUGGAUUCUGAUAAUGUGAAUUGUGGGAAUUAUUUUGAGGAAUAUGCCAUUUUUUCUGAUCGGCGCACACAACAUAGGGGUUUUUGCUUGACGGCGGAUUCGCCAGAAAUUGGGUUUGUUUUUGAACAAAGACGACGGGAUCUGGGGUUGAACAACUUGAUUUUCUGUUAAUAUAUUUCUAUGUAUUUUCAACGUAUCACGCUAUAUUUUCAUGUAUUUCAUUGUAUUUAUUGUCUUUUUCUUAUUGUAAUUCAAUGUAUUUCGUUUUAUUUCAUGUAUUUCAUUGUAUUCACUGUCUUUUUUCAUUGUAUUUCAAUGUACCCUGCGGUAUUCUAUGUAUUUCAUUAAAUU